rnacentral:rRNA from 1 species
CAAGGAAUAUUGCGCAAUGGACGAAAGUCUGACGCAGCAACACCGCGUGGAGGAUGAAGGCCUUCGGGUCGUAAACUCCUUUUCUGGGGGAAGAGAAAGGACGGUACCCCAGGAAUAAGUCUCGGCUAACUACGUGCCAGCAGCCGCGGUAAAACGUAGGAGGCGAACGUUAUCCGGAUUUACUGGGCGUAAAGCGCAUGCAGGCGGUUUCUUAAGUCGGACGUGAAAGCUCCUGGCUCAACUGGGAGAGGUCGUUCGAAACUGGGAAACUUGAGGAUGGUAGAGGAGAGUGGAAUUCCCGGUGUAGUGGUGAAAUGCGUAGAUAUCGGGAGGAACACCAGUGGCGAAGGCGGCUCUCUGGGCCAUUCCUGACGCUAAGAUGCGAAAGCUAGGGGAGAGAACGGGAUUAGAAACCCCGGUAUUCCUAGCCGUAAACGAUGUCAACUAGGUGUAGGGGGUAUCCAACCCCUCUGUGCUGUAGCAAACGCGUUAAGUUGACCGCCUGGGGACUACGGCCGCAAGGCUAAACU